rnacentral:rRNA from 1 species
UACGGGGGGGGCAAGCGUUGUUCGGAAUUACUGGGCGUAAAGGGCUCGUAGGCGGCCAACUAAGUCACACGUGAAAUCCCCAGGCUCAACCUGGGAACUGCGUGUGAUACUGGAUGGCUUGAAUUCGGGAGAGGGAUGCAGAAUUCCAGGUGUAGCGGUGAAAUGCGUAGAUAUCUGGAGGAAUACCAGUGGCGAAGGCGGCAUCCUGGACCGACAUUGACGCUGAUGAGCGAAAGCUAGGGGAGCAAACGGG